rnacentral:rRNA from 1 species
AGUCUGUAUACCGCUGUUGUCAGUCAGUUUUUUUAGAAAACUUUCCUUCAUGAAAUAAUCAUUUACUUCAAGUAAAGGUGCAGCUUAUAUAAAAGAUAGAGGUGGGUUACAAUUAUAAGAUUAAUACGGAUUUAGUUUCUGAAAUAACUUUUGAAGGUGGAUUUAAUUGUAAAGUUUAAUUAAACUUGAUGAGAGCUCUAUCUUGUGUACAC